GUGGUCUACGUAUACAAUGGAAUAUUCCUCAGCCAUUAGAAACGACAAAUACCCACCAUUUGCUUUGACGUGGAUGGAACUGGAGGGUAUUAUGCUGAGUGAAAUGGAGAAAGGGAGAUCUCAGCUGGAUACAAUUUUAGCAUCAGCACUUGCAGCCCAGAGAAAAUAGAAACUGGAGGUCGGUGUCUAUCCAGGUUCAGCAGGAGACGGAAAUCCCCGUGCAGUCUGUGAGAUGUGUUCAUCAAAGCUCAGAACAACAUACCGUAGCUUCCUCCUAGGAGAUGUCUAUUUUUAACACCUUACCUCAAAAGGAAUCUCUUCUACAGGGCAGUGAGUCUAGAUCCUGGAGCGAAAAAAAUAAUAACCAUUCCAAGACAUCCCCAUUAAUCGUGCCUCGCCUGGGUAGUGUUAGCCACACCAGUGUCCAGUAUCCCAGCAGCCUUCCACCUUCUAUGAGCCAACAAGGUGGAGGAGGGAGGCCACAAGGCGAUGGAAAUACUUAGCUCAGCAGAGUGGUUCACCUGGGAAAUGGCCUCAAAAACGUGUCAAAAGGUAGCUCUCUGCAGUGAGUUCUCCUGUGUCGUUCCUACCAACACCAUUCAGAUACACGGAAUAUCCGCUCACCUAAGCAAAUGCUUUGGGGCUUAGAUGUUUUAUAGUGACCCAUUCUAAAGUCAGUUACACAGCAGUCACUGAGCCAAUUGGAGAAGCGCACUGUACCCCGGAAACUAAGCCCUUACUGAGCCUCAUACGUGAAUGGCACCUAGGACUUCGGCUUGGGUGUGGGGGGAGGGGGGACAAACUACCUCGUUUUCUGCAAACUAAGUAAACCACACCAAAGUGACCAGUCUGGUGAUCAAGCCAGAGUGCCACUCCACCACAGCAGCAGGACUAUGGUUAGCUCCAGGAUUACGUGAACCCCAGGGCUGAAGGGCAAGGAGGCAUAAGAGAAAUCCUGCCUUUGGGCCGGGUACUGCAAGCUCUCACACCGAUCCCCACCCCGAGUGGCAAGCCACGGAGGCAGCGACUAGCUGGCUUGAAAGAGGCCCCAGGGGGAUCCCUGUGUGGCUCAGCGGUUUGGCGCCUGCCUUUGGCCCA